rnacentral:rRNA from 1 species
UUGAACGCUGGCGGCAGGCCUAACACAUGCAAGUCGAAUGGUAACAGGAAACAGCUUGCUGUUUCGCUGACGAGUGGCGGACGGGUGAGUAAUGUCUGGGAAACUGCCUGAUGGAGGGGGAUAACUACUGGAAACGGUAGCUAAUACCGCAUAACGUCGCAAGACCAAAGAGGGGGACCUUCUGGCCUCUUGCCAUCAGAUGUGCCCAGAUGGGAUUAGCUAGUAGGUGGGGUAACGGCUCACCUAGGCGACGAUCCCUAGCUGGUCUGAGAGGAUGACCAGCCACACUGGAACUGAGACACGGUCCAGACUCCUACGGGAGGCAGCAGUGGGGAAUAUUGCACAAUGGGCGCAAGCCUGAUGCAGCCAUGCCGCGUGUAUGAAGAAGGCCUUCGGGUUGUAAAGUACUUUCAGCGGGGAGGAAGGGAGUAAAGUUAAUACCUUUGCUCAUUGACGUUACCCGCAGAAGAAGCACCGGCUAACUCCGUG